GAAUUAUUUUAAAAAAUAGAGAACUGCUCACUAUAUAUGUGCUAAAUAUAUACUAAUUGUUAUCCUAACCUAUCAGGAAAAUUUUUACUUAUUGCCUUCCUUUAUUUGGGAAGCAAAUUAACCCUUUAACAGAAAAUCUAAACUAUGAAUGAAAAUAUACACAUCAAGAAACACAUAAUUUCUAAUUUGUGUUACAAAAAGCUUAUCUGAAAGGCUAUGAUAUGUACAUAUUAGAAACUCAGUAUUUACUGAAUACUUUUCUAUUGAUUUAGUGGGUUUGCUUUCCUCAGACAUUUUUUCACAAUUACACAAAAACCCACUGGAAAUUCAACUUUUAAUAAAUUAUGUUUUUCUUUCAAACAAUGAUUCCUCAUUGUCCCACAAAAUUGAUAAGCUACCUCAUUAACAUUACCACAAUUUAAAUAAACACAAUUUAUUAAGUACUUAUUACGUGCAGGUGUUAAGGAUGCUGCAAAACACAAACUCAAAAAAAGGGUAAAUUUUGAUUCUUGCCCUCAAGAAGUUUACAAUCUUGAAAGACAAGACUUAAAAACAUUAAUCAUUCAGAUGUCUUGGAAGAUUGAAAAAAAAACAUUAGUCAGUAAAAGGACAUUAUAAAUUUUACUGAUAAAUUGAAUUAGCCAAAUUUAAACUGCUACAGCAAUACAUGAAAGGAUUCUUUAAAGUAAUUACUGAUUAGGGUUCUACUGAGAUUUUUAAAUGCUUCCAAAAUUAUAGUACCUCGCUCAUAUGUAAAAUGGUAUUAUUUGAUGAUGAUAGACUUCCUAUGUGGAUGUUCAGCUGGACUUUGAGGAAAUUACUAAUAAUUAGGAAUAGCUUUUAAUUAUUCAGGCUCCUAAGGUGAGAGAUAACAGUAAUGGUCUCAGUUUUGAUCACUCAGUUCUCUUAUUAAAAAUAUCUCAAGCAUGAAUCUUUCACUACAUGCAUAUUUAAAAUUAUAUGCAUCUAGGUAUUGUCAUCUAUAUAUUAAAUAUUAAUAAGGUUCAAAUUCCUUCUUUCUCUCCACUUUGCAUGAAUACUUAAUAUGAACAUUGAAACUCACAGAUCAUGCAAAAAUAUUUUUAUCUAACCAUUGCAGUAUCUUCACACAUCAAAUGUAUUUUUUAACAUAAAUGUUAAAAGGCAGCAGACAUGCAUUUAAAUUUCAGUUUAUUUUUCUCUCUACUCUUAAAAUACAUGUUAAUUUUCAAUGUAAUGAACAGCACUAAAAAGAAACAAAGGAUAGUAAUGACUAGGUAAGCGAACCCUAAAACUUCAUGGGAAAUAGUAACCAUUGAAGACCGUUAGUAUUAUUUUUCUUAUGUAUUUGUAAUUUAAUACCCAAUAUUGAUAAUGUAUUAUUUAGUAAACUGUCAAAAUCUUCAAAAUGAUUUGUCUCUCAUUACUAUAAUUCCAUUAUAAAGUCUAUUCAUUUCAUUUCCUUGCCUACUCUUUCGUUAAAAAAAAAUUAAGAACAUUUAAAACCAAAUGUCCAAAUAUAUUAUGCUUUAACCUCCAAAUAACUUUUUGUUAAAAUAAAUAUAACAAGAAUGUGAAACCAUGAAAGCCAUUUUGAGGUAAGACUCCUUUCUAAGACUAAGUUAGGUAGCAAUGCAAACAAAUAUUUAAAAUAAAUCUGAAUAUAUAUUUUUCAUCAAUGUAAUUUUAUAGAUUGUAUGAAUAUGUAUUUAGAGAACAUUUGUUUCUAUCUAAACUAUGGAAAUAUGAAUAUGUAAAUAUUAUAUGUAUUGAAUAGUAUGUAGGUUUACAUACAGAAAUAAUAUAUACAUAUGUAGCUACCUGAAAAACCCUUUUACAACAUCUUCCUAACAUACUGUUCAUUUUGAAUAAUCCUAAUACUUAAAGUCCACUUAAAUUUCUAUAUUAAAACAACAAAUAAACUUAGAACUACAGUGAACUAGCCACAUAGUAUUUCUACUAUGAAGAAAUAAAAACACAUUUUACAUUUAAAUAGGUAAGUCAAAAAAAUAAAACUACAUUUUACUGGAGCAUCAUUUUGGCCGCACUGAUUUUUAUCAAUUAUAGUAAAAGGCAUUAAGUUCACAUAUUUAAAUAUCAAACUGCAAGUCAUCAAAAGCUUGGCAUUGUUAGUAUACAAAAAAAAAGUUAAGCACAGUAAGAAGUAUGCUCAAAAAGCUUCUAAAAAUAAUGCUUUAUUCUUCUAUUAGUUAGAGUAAACUGCUUAAGUCUCUUAAUUUCUUCAUAUCUGAAGGCUGUUAAUAAAUAACAUUCCCAAAUAAGUAUUCAACGCCAGAAAUUAGCUUUCAUGAAGACAUUCUUAAUUUCAGUUAUUUCAGGAACAUAUUUGCUCUUUUAGCCACUCAAUAUUUUGUGAGAAAUAGUAUCUUUCUCUAAGAUUUGUGAAUAUUUGAUGUUUGCUACUAUAAAUUAUUUAAAGUGGUAUUUUUCAUUAAAAUAUGAAAAUAUAUACCUAUUGACAAUGAAACCUGUUUCUUUAUUAGUACAUGAAAGACUACUAAAUUCAACAACCUGCUUUUAAAAUGUACCUGAAUAGAGGUGAGUGUAUUAGUUCCUUCACAGAGGAACUCUACACUUUCAAUUGUAUAUUUCUGUGGAGAAUAUGGGAAACGUAUACUUGACAAAACGCAAAAGAAUCAUCUGAAUAACUCAUUUCAAGUAAAAAGAAAAAAGCCAAGCUGGAAAAACAUAAAAAGGUUACACAUCUUCUGAAUAACCUCUUUCACAAAGUAACUGAGAAAUCAAAUAACCAUAAAACAUUCAAAAGCAAACCUUGUAGAAACAAAUCUCUUUGCUACGCUAACCAGAAAAGUAGUCUCAGAGCUAAAGAUAACCCUGUCUGGACAGUUCCCUGGUGCUGAAGUUCCAGAGCCGGUAAACGCAUGCCUGGGUGCUGCUUUCACUCCUACCACCCUCAGAAAAACCCGGCCUGCCAAGACCGUGAGCAAGAAUAGUAGAACUUCACAAGGUAGGGAGCAUCCCAAACUGCAGUGAUGGUAGGAACUGGAGUCUCUUCAGGAUUAAACAGAUUUACUAGUUGCAAACAGGAAGAGCAGCAGAGUGCAGGGUGUUAGCACUCGCCGAGGGGGAGGGGCUGGAAGAUGGCGGCGGACGCACACCCACCCGACCGCGACAGAGCUUAGGCCCCUAGCCCGCGCCGCCGCCCGCUGCUCGCAGCCACUGUGGGCAGCCCUGCUCUGUCCCGCGUUGCUGGUAGAGCCGCCCCGCGGAGGCGUGGGACCAGGGUGGCGUCCGCAUCCCCUGCCAGCGCGCCUUCGCCCGGGUCCGUCCAGGGAGCACCUGUGCACGGCCAUAUUGGAUUCUGUGCCCCAGUCACUGCCUCAGCGCGGCGGGAAAGGAGAGGAGUUCAACAAUUUUUAUGAAUUUCUAAUCCAACCUCAUCAUCCUAUGGGAAACAGAAGACCACCAAGAACAGCCAGCUGAGACAGAAUUUCACUGUGUUGCCCAAGCCAAUCUUAAACUCCUGGUCUCAAGCGAUCCUCCUGCCUUGGCCUCCCACUGUGCCUGGCCUAUGGACUCUGAAUUUUUUUAAAAGACUGGAAAAAACUUUUAUAAGAGAAUUGGAAAUUUGGACAAUGGAAUCUCAUUCUGUCACCAGGCUGAAGUGCAGUGACGUGAUCUUGGCUCACUGCAACCUCCACCUCCUGGGUUCAAGCGAUUCUCCUGCCUCAGCCUCCUGAGUAGCUGGGAUUACAGGUAUCUUGGCAGUAACCUCCUCCAUAUAUUUCCUUGGCCCUCAGCUUACAUCUAGCAAAAUGACUCUACUGGUUCCAGGCUUCACAUGCAUACAACAUGGUGUUGGAGGAACAGAGAUGUUUUCUCUUCCUGGUGUUUUCCCAGACAUUUCUUAGCUGGCAUUUCAAACAAGGGUCCUGAAAUUCACCCUGGUUGGGUCGUGUUCUCCCCUUCCCAUUCCCCAUCCCCACCCUCAACCGAAAAAUGAUGUAAGCAGGGGAAAUUGAAUGUACCAAUGUUUGUUUUUAAACAAGCCACAGACCCCUCCCCAACUCCCCGACUGAAGCUUGAAGUGGGAUCAGCUUUCCCUAAAGUACUUGAGCUUAUGGUAAAGCAUAUAUGUUAUCCAAGUUAAAGUCUGGACGCUGUUAGUAAUGGGAAGGCAAGUAAUGAAUGUUAGCUAUGGAGCCAACAGACAGUGUCCACUCCAUUGUCUUUAAGGCCCAACUAAAGAUAACCUCUUUACCAAUGUCGGUUUAUUUAUUCAUUUAUUUAUUCAUUGAGAUGGAGUCUCACUCUCUCACCCAAGCUGGAGUGCAGUGGAAUGAUCUCAGCUGACUGCAAUUUCUGCCUCCCAGGUUCAAGCAAUCUCCUGCUUCAGCCUCCCAAGUAGCUGGGAUUACAGGCGCACACCACCAUGCCCGGCUAAUUUUUGUAUUUUUAGUAGAGAUAGGGUUUCACCAUGUUGGCCAAGCUGGUCUCGGACACCUGACCUCAAGUGAUCUGCCUGCCUCGGCCCCCAAAGGUGUGAGCCACUGCACCUGGCUACAAUGUCAGUUUCUAUAAAAACUGCCUUGACUUGUUUUGUUUGCUUGUUUUGUUUGUUUGUGUUUUAAUUUUUAUUAUUUUUUUUUAGAGACAGGGUCUCAAUCUGUUGUCUAGGCUUGAGUGCAGUGGUGCAAUCAUAGCUCACUGAAGUGUUGGACUCCCAGGCUCAAGCAGUCCUCCCACCUCAGCCUCCCAAGUAGCUGAGACUACAGGCAUGCACCACCCUGUCUGGCUAAUUUUUUAUUUUUAGUAGAGAUGAGGUCUCACUAUGUUGCCCAAGGUGGCCUCAAACUCCUGGCCUCAAGUACUCCUGUGGCCUUAGCCUCCCAAAGCUCUGGGAUUGCAGGUAUGAGCCGCCAUGCCUGGCCUACUGUAUAUUUUAUGCAUUUGAUAUAAGUCUUGCCUCCCUAAGUAUAUUACAAGUCCCUUGAAGUUAAAGACAUUAGAUUCCUACUCAGUGCUGAGCUGCAACAGAGAGCACUCAAUGAUGGAUAAAAUAGUUUUAGCAUGCAUUCAGCGAUAUAUAUUUAGAAAGUGGAACUAGGUGGUUGAAAAAAGUGUAUAGAUGGGUGGAAGGGAAUAUUACAGCUCUUAGAAUUGUCCUAAGGUGAGAGUAACAAAUUAAGCAAUGAGUCCCUGGGUUCACUCAAGCAACUUCACUCUCUAAAACAAGAGCCCACAGAAUCCCAUUUCUGCUUUCAGAAUGAGUUUGAGGCCAAUAUUAUUUCCAUUUUUUUUCUUUUUCUUUCUUUCUUUUUUUUUUUUUUUUUUUUGAGACGGAGUUUCACUCUUGUUGCCCAGGCUGUUUUGAUCUCGGCUCACUGCAACCUCUGCCCCUGGGUUCAAGCGAUUCUCCUGUCUCAACCUCCCAAGCUGGGAUUACAAGCAUGCGCUACCACACCUGGCUAAUUUUGUAUUUUUAAUAGAGACGGGGUUUCUCUGUGUUGGUCAGGCUGGUCUCAAACUCCCAACCUCAGGUGAUCUGCCCACCUUGGCCCAGCCUCCAAUAUGAUUUUCUAAUAGCUGUGUUUGAUGAUUAUAUUUAUUCCUCCAUCAGUAGCUUUUUUAGCCUUGAAAAUAUCUAUUUAAGUUUCUUAUUUCCUUUGGAUCUAUCAAAGUGUUUUUCCCCAAGUGGCACCUGGGAAAACAUAUUCUAUUCAUUUAUUUUAUAACUGUUCCCUUGACCUCUUUAUUGCUUCCCUAUUACAACCCAAGAUGCUCUUGUAAACCUGACUUAAUAUUGGCAGUCUUCAUCCCUUGCAAAUGGAAGUGAUGACAGACCCAAUACUUUGUGUAAAAAUAUUUUGCUAUUUCUAUACAAAAUAUUUUAUUAAUGGAAACCACAUGUUAUGUAUUUUACAUAUGUUAUGACUUGAAAUUUAUGUUAUGACUUGAAAUUGGGGAAUCUGAUAUGUCUCUAAUAAUAAAGGCUUCACAGUA
rnacentral:lncRNA from 1 species